GGCGGUAUAGCCAAGUGGUAAGGCAAUUGACUGCAAAUCUUUUAACGCCUCAGUUCGAUUCUGAGUACCGCCU
rnacentral:tRNA from 1 species